AAAGAACCAAAUAAAC
rnacentral:sRNA from 1 species